GUACCAAGUGCAGUCAACUCCAGUCACAAUUCAAGUCAUCAAUGUCCAAGAGGGGAUUUCAUUCCGUCCUCCUUCCAGGACAUUUACUGUGCAAAGGGGUGUAAGCAUUAACAAAUUAGCUGGUUACAUCCUGGGGACAUACCAAGCGACGGAUGAGGACACUGGUAAAGCUGCCUCCUCUGUCAGAUAUGUCCUGGGUCGUAAUGAUGGUGGUUUUCUUGUUAUUGAUUCAAAAACUGCUGAGAUCAAAUUUGUAAAAAACAUCAACCGAGAUUCCACUUUCAUAGUUAACAAGACAAUCUCUGCUGAGGUUCUGGCCAUAGACGAAAACACUGGUAAGACCUCCACAGGCACAGUAUAUGUGGAAGUGCCCAGUUUUAAUGAAAACUGUCCAUCAGUUGUCCUGGAGAAGAGAGAGAUCUGU
rnacentral:lncRNA from 1 species